GGCGGUUCCGUAAGUUGGGUGUGAAAGCUCCGGGCUUAACCCGGAGAGGUCAUUCAAUACUGCGGAACUUGAGGACAUCAGAGGAGCGUGGAAUUUCCGGUGUAGCGGUAAAAUGCGCAGAUAUCGGAAGGAACACCAAUGGCGAAGGCAGCGCUCUGGGGUGGGCCUGACGCUAAGAGACGAAAGCUAGGGGAGCGAACAGGAUUAGAGACCCUGGUAGUCCUAGCCCUAAACGAUGGAUGCUAGGUGUGGGACCGAGAGGUUCCGUGCCGGAGUUAACGCGCUAAGCAUCCCGCCUGGGGAUUACGGCCGCAAGGCUAAAACUCAAACGAAUUGACGGGGCCCCGCACAAGCAGCGGAGCGUGUGGUUUAAUUCGAUGCUACACGAAGAACCUUACCUGGGUUUGACAUCCACGUGGUAGUGGAACGAAAGUGAAGCGACCCUUCGGGGAGCGUGGACAGGUGCUGCAUGGCUGUCGUCAGCUCGUGCCGUGAGGUGUCGGGUUAAGUCCCGUAACGAGCCCAACCCUUGCCCUUAGUUACAAGUGUCUAAGGGGACUGCCGGCGGUAAGCCGGAGGAAGGUGGGGAUGACGUCAAGUCAGCAUGGCCCUUAUAUCCAGGGCUACACACACGCUACAAUGGUCAGUACAAAGGGCAGCGCAGCCGCGAGGUGAAGCGAAUCCCAGCAAAGCUGAUCGUAGUUCGGAUUGCAGGCUGCAACUCGCCUGCAUGAAG
rnacentral:rRNA from 1 species